rnacentral:lncRNA from 1 species
CUGGCACAUUGUCAGCUGAACGAUUUACACUGCGAAGUGCCUGGAAAAGAAUUAAGCAUAUUAAAAUCAGCCUUUUUCAGGGAUUAUGAUUUUGUUUUUAAGUCUUUGUGACAUAAAGUGUGUAAAUGGAACUGCAUCCAGUAAAACACAAUAAUUUAUUCUAGAAAUUAGCAAGCCCACGUUCCACCUAUAAAACCAUUCUCUGUGAUGUGCGACUGGCCUUCAUUUUCAGUGGCCUUGAUUUAUAGUUAGAAUUUGUUUUAUUUUCAAGGGGUAGAGACUGGGAAGCAGCCGGACAGAGCUAUUAAAGCUGUUGCGCACAGCAAUUUUUCAGGGGUUUAUUAAUUCUUACAGAGAAUAAGCCAAUGAACUGAACAUUUUUCAGUGUAAGAACACCUUCCCUAAAUGGAAGGCUUUUUGAUGAAUAGAUAUAGACAGCACAAAACAAAACAUAUGGGUGUUUGUUGUGUGAAUUUAACCAUUUGUGUUUAGUUUCAUUCUCAGUUGCAAAGCCAUCUCAGAACAAGGGCUCACGGUUAGCAAUCAUAUAAGCCCACUGAUGAUUGUGAUUUCGGUCCGAGGUUUUCCUCGAUGCUCUCACUGAUGCCUUAUCUAUGCAAGUUAAAACCCUCAGCUUGUUUCACAGAACAAAAGACUGUUGGACCUACUUAAUUCCAGCGACCAGGUGUGUGAUGAUCAUCAUGUCUCAGAGCUACGCACCUUUUUCCCUCGGUGUGAAACACACAGCAGUCUUUUUAUUCCUUGGUGCCAAACAGCUCGAGAGAGAGAGAGACCAAGACUUGGAAUUCCUGGAAAAAUCAAAUCUAAAUGUCAGAACCUGUGGUCUUUAACUUCCCAGCUCAUACAGAGGUAGCGGCAAUACUCCUGUGUGCAGCCACAUCCCUUUGUGCCCUGUCAAAACCUUCUUAGCAAAAAUGCCCUGUUCUGUUGAGGUACUUUAUUAGGGCUUUAUCUUGAGACCACCAGCAACACAGAAUGAAAUGGUAACAAAAUUAAUGUGUUUUAUUUGUUAGUUUUGCUUUCCUCUCUUAAAGCUUUUACUUUUUUCUUCCCCCCCACCCCCUUUUUUCUUUUUUAGCAAUAUGGGGUUUCUUUUCCCAGUCCAGAGAAAUCUCGUUCAUGUACACAUCAAAACAUUUGAUGGAAUAAAAAAGUUAUGUGCAAGAUUCA